CCUACGGGGGGCAGCAGUGGGGAAUAUUGGACAAUGGGGGGAACCCUGAUCCAGCCAUGCCGCGUGUGUGAAGGAGGCCCUCGGGUUGUAAAGCACUUUCAGUGAGGAAGAACGCCUGGUGGUUAAUACCCAUCAGGAAAGACAUCACUCACAGAAGAAGCACCGGCUAACUCCGUGCCAGCAGCCGCGGUAAUACGGAGGGUGCGAGCGUUAAUCGGAAUUACUGGGCGUAAAGCGCGCGUAGGUGGCUUGAUAAGCCGGUUGUGAAAGCCCCGGGCUCAACCUGGGAACGGCAUCCGGAACUGUCAAGCUAGAGUGCAGGAGAGGAAGGUAGAAUUCCCGGUGUAGCGGUGAAAUGCGUAGAGAUCGGGAGGAAUACCAGUGGCGAAGGCGGCCUUCUGGACUGACACUGACACUGAGGUGCGAAAGCGUGGGUAGCAAACAGGAUUAGAUACCCCUGUAGUC
rnacentral:rRNA from 1 species